UAGGCAGCCAUCUGACUGUACUACCCAAAGUCUGCCCAAAUGAGGAUUUCCCUUCACCACUCUUUGAAGGCCACUCCUAGUGGAUUUUACACCCUGAAAACCCCUCCAUAAACUGGAGACUGAAAUCGAAGAAAUGGCAUUUGCUGUGUUAAUAGUUGCAUACCUGUAGCCAGUGGCUGUACUGAUUUUCUCAGUAAAUUACCACAUCUGGAACCAAAGCUACAGUUGUCAUCCUCACCUGAUUAAGUAGGUGAUAAUGUACAGUUAUUCUCCAGACUUAUCUGAGUUUUGUACAGGCCCAACAAGCUAAAUAAAUGGCCACUAUGGUAAGACCCA